rnacentral:rRNA from 1 species
GGACGGGUGAGUAAUGUCUGGGAAACUGCCUGAUGGAGGGGGAUAACUACUGGAAACGGUAGCUAAUACCGCAUAACGUCGCAAGACCAAAGAGGGGGACCUUCGGGCCUCUUGCCAUCAGAUGUGCCCAGAUGGGAUUAGCUAGCAGGUGGGGUAAUGGCUCACCUACGCGACGAUCCCUAGCUGGUCUGAGAGGAUGACCACCCACACUGGAACUGACACACGGUCCACACUCCUACGGGAGGCAGCAGUGGUGUAUUAUUGCGCAAUGGGCGCAGCCUGAUGCAGCCAUGCCUGAGUGUGAAGAAGGCCUUCGGGUUGUUUGUACUUUCAGCGAGGAGGAGGUGUUGAGCUUAAUACUCUCAGUUUUUGACGUUACUAGAAGAAGAAGCACCGGCUACUCCGUGCCAGCAGCCGCGGUAGUGCGGCGGUGCAAGCGUUAAUCGUAGUUACUGGGCGUAAAGCGCACGCAGCUGUCUGUAAAUCGAUGUCACUCCCCGGACUCAACCUGUGACUGCAUUCGAGACUGGCAAGCUAGAGUCUUG